rnacentral:rRNA from 1 species
AUUGAACGCUGGCGGCAGGCCUAACACAUGCAAGUCGAGCGGAUGAGAAGAGCUUGCUCUUCGAUUCAGCGGCGGACGGGUGAGUAAUGCCUAGGAAUCUGCCUGGUAGUGGGGGACAACGUUUCGAAAGGAACGCUAAUACCGCAUACGUCCUACGGGAGAAAGCAGGGGACCUUCGGGCCUUGCGCUAUCAGAUGAGCCUAGGUCGGAUUAGCUAGUUGGUGAGGUAAUGGCUCACCAAGGCGACGAUCCGUAACUGGUCUGAGGGGAUGAUCAGUCACACUGGAACUGGGACACGGUCCAGACUCCUACGGGAGGCAGCAGUGGGGAAUAUUGGACAAUGGGCGAAAGCCUGAGCCAGCCAUGCCGCGUGUGUGAAGAAGGUCUUCGGAUUGUAAAGCACUUUAAGUUGGGAGGAAGGGCAGUAAGCUAAUACCUUGCUGUUUUGACGUUACCGACAGAAUAAGCACCGGCUAACUCUGUGCCAGCAGCCGCGGUAAUAC